GCCGAGAUGGCGGAAUUGGUAGACGCAGCGGAUUCAAAAUCCGCCGCCUUAACGGGUGUGAGGGUUCAAGUCCCUCUCUCGGCACCA
rnacentral:tRNA from 33 species